CACGUAGGGGGCGAGCGUUGUCCGGAUUUAUUGGGCGUAAAGAGCUCGUAGGUGGCUUAGUAAGUCGGGUGUGAAACCUCCAGGCUCAACCUGGAGACGCCACCCGAUACUGCUAUAGCUUGAGUCCGGUAGGGGAGCGUGGAAUUCCUGGUGUAGCGGUGAAAUGCGCAGAUAUCAGGAGGAACACCAGCGGCGAAGGCGGCGCUCUGGGCCGGUACUGACACUGAGGAGCGAAAGCGUGGGGA
rnacentral:rRNA from 2 species